CACGUAGGGUGCGAGCGUUGUCCGGAAUUUAUUGGGCGUAAAGAGCUCGUAGGCGGUCUGUCGCGUCGGCAUGAACAAAGCCGGUCAACCCUGGGCCUGCAUUCGAUACGGGCAGACUAGAGUACGGCAGGGGAGACUGGAAUUCCUGGUGUAGCGGUGAAAUGCGCAGAUAUCAGGAGGAACACCGGUGGCGAAGGCGGGUCUCUGGGCCGAAACUGACGCUGAGGAGCGAAAGCGUGGGGAGCGAACAGG
rnacentral:rRNA from 1 species